UGCUAGCCCAAGUUGUAGGGCAGUGGUCACGAUAAACGUUCCGCAACAGCGCUUAACAUGUAAUUAAAACUAGUUUAGUUUUUGUCGUUAUGUUAUUUGCAAGCUAAACGUAACCGCUGUGUAAUAUUUCCAAGUCAUCUCAGCUGGUGCUCUAUCACUGUCAACUGAUGUUUUGUGGAAAUCUCGCGAGCAGGAGAUGUACUGCUCUCAUCAAGUUCUACAUCCGCUACAUUCAGAAGUGUUCACUGGGUCCGAAGGUCCUACGCCAAGAAGGUUCGACAGCCCCAAGCAGAUGACCCGUGGAAGAGAAAAGCCUGUUUGAAAAUGGAAAUGAG